UUUGUCCUUCUGAACUUCUGAAUCAACAGGAAGGUGACCUACAGCGAGAGUGGAAGGGGAGAGAGGAUGUGCCCAGAGUGGUGCAUGUUUAAUCAUCAUUUUCUAAUGGCAAUUGGAGAUUUCCUAUUUAAUCAGUAAUGCAAGUGCCUAGCAAUUAAUUCUGCGGGACUCUCCAUCCCCUGACCACUGCAGUGCUGCUUCUGAGCAUGACUUUCCUACUCUUGGUGCAGUUUUGAGGGGUAAUAAGGUUGCUGUAAUGAAUUACAAAAGGUAUUAUUUCGUUCCUAGCUCCCAAUGACAAGUAUUAGUCCUUACUUUUAAAUGAGGAUACGAACGUUUCAUUCCUUAAUAGGCAAGCUGUCCUGGACCAGGCUUCGUAAAGGAAGCAGGGGGAAGAGAGAGGGAGUGUCUUGCACCAACCGAAGCUGAUGUGAGUGUCUUUCAUCCGAUGCACGUCGCGCGAUGACGCUCACACGUCCCCGAGGCACCUCGCAUGCAAAUCUCUACAGCUUGCUGUCAUGCCCGAGAGGAAAGCAAAGAGCUUGUCCUGUCCUUACCCAGAGUUUCCUUUCCUGUUCGCUUUGACCCAGGGGCUUGCAGGACCUCCUGUGCUGCAGGACACCCUCGACCGUCGCGUUUAACAGCCGCCGAUGACAGAUAGACCGACAGCUGGAUUUCCGGCUCUUGGGUAACACUUUAUCAAGCCUGAGCACAGUGAUCUUCGCUUGCAGCCAUGAGCCAAGGCAUUUUAUCUGCAACUAACUUACUCCUCUCAGCCUCUUAAUCUUCCAAAAUACUUGUUCUGGAUGAAAUGGAUUAACUGACCAUAGUUUUCAUUUCAGAUGAACAGGUGAUAAAUUGUUACACUGAGGAAUGAGAUUUGCUGUUGUAUACAGCUGGUAAUACAAUUUAUCCUUCCUGUGGACUAUUUCCUCCACUGGGCAUUAUCUGCCUUACAAAGAACAGAUUUCAUUUUUCUUACGGCUUAAAAAUCUGAUUUGUUUGCUUUGUGCUUCUUCCAUUAAACCUGG
rnacentral:lncRNA from 1 species